rfam:Kitasatospora sp. Root187 contig_12, whole genome shotgun sequence.
GUAGCGGCAACAGUGCCGCUACGCCCGUCCCGGUACCUGAUACGGCCGGGUUCGG